UAGCUCAGUUGAUAGAACAUGGUGUUUGCAACGCCAGGGUUGUGGGUUCGAUUCCCAC
rfam:Salmo salar isolate Sally breed double haploid chromosome ssa16, whole genome shotgun sequence.